AUGUCAAAGAAAGGCACCAACGGUGAGGAGAGCAUGGUCGUGUCGGCGCAGAUGAGAAAGGCCAAGCGAGGCCCUCCCCGAAAGCGCAACCCGUGCCCCGGAAUCCGCCGUGUCGGCGGCCGGAUCUAUGACCCGGAGAACGGGAAGACCUGCCACCAGUGUCGCCAGAAGACAACGGACUUCGCGGUGGCUUGCACCCAACCUCGGAAGAAGGGGCUUUGUCCAAUCCACUUCUGCCACAACUGCUUGUCCAACAGGUAUGGUGAGGAUGUCAAGGACAUGACCAAGGAGGCGGGCUGGACCUGCCCCAAAUGCAGGGGCAUCUGCAACUGCAGCUUGUGCAGAAAGAAGAAAGGGGAGACCCCUACUGGAACACUGGCCCGUGCCGCCAAGGUGUUAGGGCACUCAUCCGUCCAUGAUCUGCUGAUAAAUAGCUCCGAAAUGGUGGCUGCUGCACAGACGUUGUCUUCAUUCCCUAAGAAGAUCAAGAAGGUAUAA
rnacentral:rRNA from 1 species